AGGACACUCGUUAGCAUUACCUUUAUUUUUUUAUUCAUUUCUCUCUUUUCCUUUCAUUUUUUUUUUAGUUUAUUUAUUCAUUUCUUAAUUUCUUCCUUUUCAUCUCUUCUCUCUGAUCUUCUCUUUCGUCUGAAGCAAACCAAGCCAACCCACUGCACAGCCUCACCUCCACAAUCCCAAACCCACAACCCCACCUCCAUAAUCCCAAACGCACAACCAACCACCGGCCAUCCUCCACAAACCCACAACCCCACACUCACCACACCUCCACAAACCCAAGCUCCGGCCAUCCUCUCUCUGCAGCCCUUGUUCCGGCCAUCUUCAUUUCUUUUGAUUUUUGCUCAGACCAAACCCAAAAUCUCAAGGUUUUCCUCUCAUCCUCCUCCAUCGUUUUUCUCAGAAACUCCAACCAAAUAAUAAUAAUAAUAAUAAUAUUGAUGGGUAUGGCAUACGCAUCGGUCGGCGGCGGACAGAAGCAUAGUGAGCUUCAAUGGAACUUUGUCGUUAAAGGUCUAGGGUGUCAUAAUGGCCUGUUAAGAUACGUGGAUUUCAGAUCUGUUUCAGCUUUAAAGCGGCUGCGAAGAAAGCGGUGGAACUUAUUUCCAAAGCACUUGCUUACAUACUAAGUUUCAGCUUUAAAGCGGCUGCAACGAAAGUGGUGGAACUUAUUUCUAAAGCACUUGCUUACAUACUGAGUGAUGAUGCUGAAGCUCUCGGUUUCUAUGAAGCAUUUCAUACUGUUCUUGCCUUCCUCGUCAUGCUUCUGGUUGCCUUAAUUGGUUUACACCUUCAACCCUUGAGCAUCUCUCCACUUGAAAAACAUUUUGCUAUCAUCUUGACUUUCAUUGCGGCUAUAAUCGUCUACGGCAUUGCAUAUGUGUUGACAAAACUAAAACCUCAAGAUGCCAAGUACCUUUCCAAAUUCAGGUUCAUCCGUCUAGUUUUUGGAAUCAUUGCUAUUGAGCUACUUGCCUCCAUAAUCAUUUCUCCCUUUUGGCUAUCAAUGGUUAUUUUAUGUUCAAUCCUGAUCGUAGGGGUACUGUGUUUGUACGAACAAAUUUAUCAAUUAGUUCAUCCGAUAUGACUGUCAGAUAUUCCAAUCAGAAGCAUUUCAAGCAUUCUCUUCUAGGGAACGAGAAGACAGAUAAUUUGGGUGUAGAAAUUGUUUAAGUGGCCUUUUAAAAAAAAAAAAAAAAAAAAUGAAGAAUCCUUAUUGAAACAGAUGGAGAACCAGCAACAAUACAAAAUUAGGUGGCCUGUUGUAGUACUAGAUUUAAGCAAGCAAAAUUUUCACUUCUGUAAUUUUCUGUUUGUGGAAGUUUGAAUCUGUUUACACCUUAUUCAAAGUAAGGUUAAUUAUAUUAUAUUCAGCA